rnacentral:rRNA from 1 species
AAUCAACGCUGGCGGCGUGCCUCAGACAUGCAAGUCGAACGAUUAAGACUUCCUUCGGGAAGUGCAUAAAGUGGCGCACGGGUGAGUAACACGUAAGUAAUCUACCCUCGAGUGGGGAAUAACGUUCGGAAACGGACGCUAAUACCGCAUAAUGCAGCGGCAUCGCAAGAUGACAGUUGUUAAAGGAGUAAUUCGCUUGAGGAGGAGCUUGCGGCAGAUUAGCUAGUUGGUAAGGUAACGGCUUACCAAGGCUACGAUCUGUAUCCGGUCUAAGAGGACGGUCGGACACACUGACACUGAAUAACGGGUCAGACUCCUACGGGAGGCAGCAGUCGGGAAUUUUGGGCAAUGGGCGAAAGCCUGACCCAGCAACGCCGCGUGAAGGAUGAGGUAUUUCGGUAUGUAAACUUCGAAAGAAUGGGAAGAAUAAAUGACGGUACCAUUUAUAAGCUCCGGCUAACUACGUGCCAGCAGCAGCCGCAGUAA